GGUUGUGGCUCAGUGAUAGAGCGUUUGCCUAGUAUGUGUCAGGCACUGGGUUCAAUCCUCGGCACCA
rnacentral:tRNA from 1 species